rnacentral:rRNA from 1 species
GACGUAGGAGGCGAGCGUUGUCCGGAUUCAUUGGGCGGAAAGAGCGUGUAGGCGGCCAUGUAGGUCCGGUGUGAAAACUCGAGGCUUAACCUCGAGAUGUCAUCGGAAACCAUUUGGCUAGAGUCCGGAAGAGGAGAGUGGAAUUCCUGGUGUAGCGGUGAAAUGCGCAGAUAUCAGGAAGAACACCAAUGGCGAAAGCAGCUCUCUGGGACGGUACUGACGCUGAGACGCGAAAGCGUGGGGAGCGAACAGG